rnacentral:rRNA from 1 species
GGAGUAUGGGCCGUGUCUCAGUCCCAUUGUGGCUGAUCAUCCUCUCAAACCAGCUACUGAUCAUCGCCUUGGUGGUCCAUUACACCCCCAACUAGCUAAUCAGAUGCAGACUCAUCCCAGAGCACCGGAGUUUUCAAGAAUAGUAUCUCAACUACGCUCAUAUGGGGUAUUAGCGGUCGUUUCCAACCGUUGUCCCCCGCUCUGGGGCAGAUUCUCUACAUUUUACUCACCCGUCCGCCACUUAUGUAUUCCCGAAGGAACCUUAUCGUUCGACUUGCAUGUAUGAAGCACGCCGCCAGCGUUCGUCCUGAGCCAUGAUCAAACUACU